rnacentral:rRNA from 1 species
GACGAACGCUGGCGGCGUGCUUAACACAUGCAAGUCGAACGCUGAAGCUUGGUGCUUGCACUGGGUGGAUGAGUGGCGAACGGGUGAGUAAUACGUGAGUAACCUGCCCUUGACUCUGGGAUAAGCCUGGGAAACUGGGUCUAAUACUGGAUACGACAUGCCACUGCAUGGUGGUGUGUGGAAAGGGUUUUACUGGUUUUGGAUGGGCUCACGGCCUAUCAGCUUGUUGGUGGGGUAAUGGCCUACCAAGGCGACGACGGGUAGCCGGCCUGAGAGGGUGACCGGCCACACUGGGACUGAGACACGGCCCAGACUCCUACGGGAGGCAGCAGUGGGGAAUAGUGCACAAUGGGCGGAAGCCUGAUGCAGCGACGCCGCGUGAGGGAUGACGGCCUUCGGGUUGUAAACCUCUUUCAGCACGGAAGAAGCGAGAGUGACGGUACGUGCAGAAGAAGCGCCGGCUAACUACGUG